rnacentral:rRNA from 1 species
AUUGAACGCUGGCGGCAUGCCUUACACAUGCAAGUCGAACGUGAAAGCGGGGCAACCCGCAAGUAGAGUGGCGGACGGGUGAGUAAUACAUCGGAACGUGUCCAGUAAUGGGGGAUAACCUAGCGAAAGUUAGGCUAAUACCGCAUACGAUCUGCGGAUGAAAGCGGGGGAUGCGGCACUAAAGGCUUUUGGCGAAGGUGGCCAAAGGUGAGUCAAGAGCUUUUAGUGCNGCACCUCGCGUUAUUGGAGCGGCUGAUGUCUGAUUAGCUAGUUGGUGAGGUAAAGGCUUACCAAGGCGACGAUCAGUAGCUGGUCUGAGAGGACGGCCAGCCACACUGGGACUGAGACACGGCCCAGACUCCUACGGGAGCAGCA